GAAGGGGGCGAGCGUUGUUCGGAUUUACYGGGCGUAAAGGGCGCGCAGGCGGCCAUUUUUGUCAGGCGUGAAAGCCCCGGGCUUAACCUGGGAACCGCGCUUGAGACGGGAUGGCUAGAGAUCGGGAGAGGAGAGUGGAAUUCCCASUGUAGAGGUGAAAUUCGUAGAUAUUGGGAASAACACCGGUGGCGAAGGCGGCUCUYUGGACCGAUACUGACGCUGAGGCGCGAAAGCGUGGGGAGCAAACAGGAWUAGAUACCCUGGUAGUCCACGCUGUAAACGAUGUGUGCUAGACGUUGGGGAGCCUAGCUCUUCGGUGUCGCAGCUAACGCUUUAAGCACACCGCCUGGGGAGUACGGCCGCAAGGUKA
rnacentral:rRNA from 1 species